GUGAAUUGAUCCCUGCAUUCAAAUCCUGCCAAAUUUCCCUGUUUUUGUGUCAUAUGUACUACAAGUCUCUCUUUGAUUGUAACCCAACAUUGGACUUUUAUAAUAUUGGACAAAUUGAUACAGACUCCCUUUUCCACAUCGGACGAAAAUCCCUUUACAUCGGAAUGAAAACAAAAUGGAAACAAAACACCCAGGAUUGGUCCUCUUACCGAACAUGUGAUCAUAAAACAGAAGCGGACUUGAUUUGGAACUAAUAUACUGAAUGAACUCGAAAGGGAACUUUUGUUUAACCGAUUUUGAUUGGUUCUAAGAAUAAGGUAAAAAUGUUUGAAUAUUGCCAUCCGAUUUAUACGAGUGUAACUAGAUCCUUGCAAAUUUUGCAUAUUAACUAUGAUCUAAACAUAAAUCGGCAGACAAUAUUGUUAAUCUUGUAUAUUUAUUGUAAGUCCGGCUCUGGUUGGACCGGAAAAGGAAUAAUAAUAAUAUCUGUAUAAAAACAUCUAUGUAAAUCUAAAGGUAGAAGCGGACCUGAUUUAGAACUUAUGUCCAUUAUGUACCUGAAAGGGAGCUUUUGUUUAACUAACUCUGAUUGGUCCUAGGAACAAAGUGAAUUUGCGAAUAUUGCCAUCCGAUUUAUACAAUUAUUAAAUAGAUCUUUGCAAACUUUGCACAUUAACAAUGGUCUAAUUAAAAAUCGGCUGACAAUAUUGAUAUCGUAAAUAAAUCUUGAAAAAUUAUUUUGUAAGUCUGGCUCCGGUUAGACCGGAAAAGGAACACCAAUUACUCCUGUAUAAAAACACCUGUGUUAAUCCAAAAGGCAGCAUUUUACCUGUUUACAGCUCUUGAGAAAGACGAGAUAUCGUUGAAACGCGUAGAGCCUCUUACUAUGAGCUUUUAUCUUUUCUGUCCAUAGUGACAUUUUAAAAUAAAUUUGUAAUUUUACGAAA